UCGAGCGCCGUAGCAAUACGGAGCGGCAGACGGGAGAGUAACACGUGGGAACGUACCCUUCAGUUCGGAACAACCCCAGGGAAACUUGGGCUGAUACCGGAUACGUCCGUAAGGAGAAAGAUUUAUCGCUGAAGGAUCGGCCCGCGUCUGAUUAGCUUGUUGGUGAGGUAACGGCUCACCAAGGCGACGAUCAGUAGCUGGUCUGAGAGGAUGAUCAGCCUCACUGGGACUGAGACACGGCCCAGACUCCUACGGGAGGCAGCAGUGGGGAAUAUUGGACAAUGGGCGCAAGCCUGAUCCAGCCAUGCCGCGUGGGUGAUGAAGGCCCUAGGGUUGUAAAGCCCUUUCGGCGGGGAAGAUAAUGACGGUACCCGCAGAAGAAGCCCCGGCUAACUUCGUG
rnacentral:rRNA from 1 species